UUGAUGGAAAGCAUUCACAAAUCAAAGGCUGAGAAGGCUAGAGAGAAGACGUUGUCUGAUCAGUUUGAGGCUAAACGUGUCAAGAACAAGGCUAGCCGGGAAAGGAAAUUGGCUCGCAAGGAGGAACGUUUUGCUCAGGGCCCACAGGAGAAAGUUCCAGCUCCAGCAGCCGCUGUUCCUGCAGCACAACCUGCACAGGCAACAAAGAAAUCCAAGAAAUGAGAUCUGAUUUUUUUGUCGAUGUUAGGUAUGAAGAAAAUGGGUGCUUUAAAA